UAUAUUUAGAUCAUGUGGGUAAUGCUUCCUUUUUUCCUUGACCUUUGUUGGAUUGCAGCUCUACAAGACCAGGGAAGACAAGUAUCUCCUUGACUUGCAGAGGGUCAGUGGGCCGCAUCUCCUCUUUCUCGACUUAUGUGCUGCCUUACUUGCCCAGCUUAGAGUCCUAUAACACUGGCCUUCUUUUCUUCUAAGUUUUGUUGUUCCUUCUUCUUGUGAAUAUGGAAUUUGCCUAAUGCUGAUGCCAUACACGUUGUAACUUUCACGUUGAUGUGUUGUCGCCACAAGAUCACACGGUUAAAUGAUUGCCUGAUUUUUUUGGGCAAUGUUUCCUAAGUUUCUGAUACCUAAGUCUGAUCAACCUCCUUUGAUCUCAAAGAGCACUAAUUACAUGGCUUGUUGGCAUAAAUAAUGGGUAGAACAUGAUCUCUAUGAUGCCUGAAAUUUAUCGGAUUGUAAGCAAUUUUGUUCAUGGUGACACAGUUUUCUUGUCAAGGACAGUGAGACUUUCAUGGAUUUGAGGUCUUAAUAUAGUAAAUUCUUGCUCUUGAACUCCAUUUAUUCUUUAUCGUUUGCUCUUCUAUAUAUAUAUAUAUAUAUAUAUAAGGUGUUGUUGCUCCGUAUGAGGUACUCCAACGUUCGUUAGCAGCCCUGUGGCCUUCGUCGUCCGCCGCCACCGCAGAGGACGCCUUUCGCCGGCCCAAAUCCCUCUGCCAUUCCUAUCAAAUGGCAUGCUAUUGCAUCGGCUUUCGUGGGAGAAUUGAGUGUUCGUGCUUUAAUGGUCAGGAUGGGGUCGGAACGUUCGUCUCCUGGGCGGAAGGCAUUCGAUCUUAAGGUGUUUGAUGAAAUUCGUCGCAGACAUGUUGUCUCUAGGGAUUCGAUUUUGGUGGGUAAUACGAGGUAGGUGAUUCGUCAGGAGGCACUGGACGUGUUCGGAGCGAGGAGCAAUGCUGAUCUGGUGCCUGAUGGAUGGGAAGCGUGGGAAAUUAUACCAGACGCCAGAAUGCUUCGACAGGUCUGAUCAAUACAUUACCACCAACUACGGCUCAGAAAUCAACACUUUUGAUGCGGUUGCAAUUUAGAGAUGUUUGGUCACUGUCGCUUUCUUUUACAUGUUCGAUGAAAUGUUUGCGAACCUGAGCAAGAAAAGAGCUGCCUGUGGCUUCCUUAUGGCAUCGUGCGCAAGUAGGCGCAGAGCAGCUGACAACAAUUCAUGGCAGUGGCAUUGCAAGUCCGAUGUGAAUGAACUCAUGCGCGGAACUCUUCUUUUGUUGUACGGAUCGAGGAAGGUGUUUGAGUAAUUACACAAGUGAACGAUGGAUCCUGUCGGGAUAUUCUUGGAAUUUUCCAAGCGACCGGAUAUAGUGAGAUAGAUAACAGGUGGCUUCUGUCCAUUCCGAGGACGAUGGCUGCAACGCAUGGCUGUCUGAGGUCGCUUCGUCCUGCUCCCCUCUUCUCCUCCUCCUCAGCCGCAGCAGCAGCAGCACCGAAGCAGUUAUUCCACUAUCCAUGUCCUUCUCGCACUUCACUCCCCAUUUCGAGAAGGGAUGCGCUUCUGAUAUCUGUUCUGCCCCUCAGCUUCAUUGCGCUCCCCCUUCCUUCGCAAGCCAGGGAGAGAAGAGGAAGGAAGGCCAUCGCUCCCGAGGAGUACUCCACCAGCCAGGACUGUGGUCAUUCCUCCCGAGCUCGGUUAUGGAAAAAAGGGAAUGAAUGAAAUACCACCUGGAGCUGAUUUUGAAAUGAAUGUGGAGCUUUUGGAAGUGAUACGUCCAGGAGAAAAUUAUUAGACUGGAAAUGUGAUUAGUAGCUGAACUCAAAACCAGAAUCCCACUGGGUAUAAAGUAUGUGCUAAGAACCGAAGGAGCUUUUUUUGUUUUUUGUUUUUGUGCUUAAACCUUGUCAUCUGCCACCAUAUCCGUGUAAUAUCACAAUUGACUUGCGAUGAUAGACAUGUUCUACACCAUUUUGAUCUUUUUAGUACAUUCUAAUGAUGUACUCCAUUAAUGUAAGUAAAUUGACAAACAUCUUAUUAUCGCUUGAUGUCGGUGAUCACCUUUGAGUAGGGCAAUUAAUCAAAUCUAAUUUAGAUCCAACCUACACUACACUACGGGUGUCGAUGUCGCUGAGGGCUUUUAAUUUUAACACGACGAUAAACUUAGAUUUCUUUGGAUAUUUUCCAUUCUCUAAUUAAUAAUACCAAGAUGAAUGAGAUAGGAAUGAAUUUGAUUGUGUUUGAACUAAUCAAAGC